GGACGUGGCUGCAGUCGACGAUUCCUACGGGAGGCAGCAGUGAGGAAUAUUGGGCAAUGGGCGAAAGCCUGACCCAGCCACGCCGCGUGAGUGAUGAAGGCCUUCGGGUCGUAAAGCUCUGUGGGGAGGGACGAAAAAUCUCCAUUCGAAUAGGAUGGAGACCUGACGGUACCUCCUUAGCAAGCACCGGCUAACUCUGUGCCAGCAGCCGCGGUAAUACAGAGGGUGCGAACGUUGCUCGGAUUUACUGGGCGUAAAGCGCGUGUAGGCGGACUCGCAAGUCGGUUGUGAAAUCCCUGGGCUUAACCUAGGAACUGCAUCCGAAACUGCUUGUCUUGAGUAAUGGAGAGGGUGGCGGAAUUCCCGGUGUAGAGGUGAAAUUCGUAGAUAUCGGGAGGAACAUCAGUGGCGAAGGCGGCCACCUGGACAUUUACUGACGCUGAGACGCGAAAGCGUGGGGAGCAAACAGGAUUAGAUACCCUGGUAGUCCACGCCGUAAACGAUGAGCAUUAGGUGCAGCGGAUAUUGACCUCUGCUGUGCCGUAGCUAACGCGUUAAAUGCUCCGCCUGGGGAGUACGGCCGCAAGGCUAAAACUCAAAUGAAUUGACGG
rnacentral:rRNA from 1 species